rnacentral:tRNA from 1 species
GGCUCAGACAGUAAAGCGUCUGCCUGCAAUGCAGGAGACCCAGGUUUGAUCCCUGG